rnacentral:rRNA from 1 species
UACGGGUAAAACCUAAAACUCAAAAGACUUGACGGUGUUCCAAUCUACCUAGAGGAGCCUGUUCUAUAAUCGACAACCCCCGAUACACCAAACCACUUUUUGAACCAUCAGCCUAUAUACCGCCGUCAAAGUUUACCUUUUAAAAGACUAAAAGUGAGCUAAAUAGUAAGACACUAAUAAAUCAGGUCAAGGUGUAGCACAUGAGGUGGAAGGAAAUGGGCUACAUUAUUUAUAAUAAAUAAACAGAUGAUUAUACUUUGAAAAAGAAUAUAAAGUUGGAUUUAGUAGUAAUUUAAAUAAGAAUAUUUAAAUUAAUAAUAGCUCUGGAACAUGUACACACCGC